GUCUCUUCGGAGACGGUGCUGGCGACCGGCGGACGGGUGCAUAACACGUAGCUACUUGCCCUACAGUGGGGGAUAACCCGGGGAAACCCGGGCUAAUACCGCAUAUACCCGAAAGGGGAAAGCCGUAAGGCGCUGUAGGAUAGGGCUGCGGCGUAUCAGGUAGUUGGUGGGGUAACGGCCUACCAAGCCGAUGACGCGUAGCUGGUCUGAGAGGAUGAUCAGCCACACUGGAACUGAGACACGGUCCAGACUCCUACGGGAGGCAGCAGUGGGGAAUAUUGGGCAAUGGGCGAAAGCCUGACCCAGCAACGCCGCGUGGAGGAAGGCGCCCUUCGGGGUGUAAACUCCUUUUGCAGGGGAAGAGAGUGACGGUACCCUGCGAAUAAGCUCCGGCUAACUCCGUGCCAGCAGCCGCGGUAAUACGGGGGGAGCGAGCGUUACUCGGAAUCACUGGGCGUAAAGGGUGCGUAGGCGGCUUGGUAAGUUGGGAGUGAAAGCCUACGGCUCAACCGUAGAAUUGCUUCCAAAACUGCCAAGCUAGAGUCCGGGAGAGGCCGAGGGAAUUCCUGGUGUAGGGAUGAAAUCCGGUAGAGAUCAGGAGGAAUGCCGAAAAGCGAAUGGCGCUCGGCUGGAACGGAACUGACGCUGAAGGCACGAAAGCGUGGGGGAGCAA
rnacentral:rRNA from 1 species